UACAGAGGUCUCAAGCGUUGUUCGGAUUCAUUGGGCGUAAAGGGUGCGUAGGUGGCGCGGUAAGUCGGGUGUGAAAUCUCGGAGCUUAACUCCGAAAGUGCAUUCGAUACUGCCGUGCUCGAGGACUGGAGAGGAGACUGGAAUUCCUGGUGUAGCGGUGAAAUGCGCAGAUAUCAGGGGGAACACCGGUGGCGAAGGCGGGUCUCUGGGCCGAUACUGACGCUGAGGAGCGAAAGCGUGGGGAGCGAACAGG
rnacentral:rRNA from 1 species